ACGUAGGCAGCGAGCGUUGUUCGGAGUUACUGGGCGUAAAGAGUGCGUAGGCGGUUUUCUAAGUUUGGUGUGAAAUCUCCCGGCUCAACUGGGAGGGUGCGCCGGAAACUGGGGUGCUGGAGCGCGGGAGAGGAAAGCGGAAUUCCUGGUGUAGCGGUGAAAUGCGUAGAAAUCAGGAGGAACACCGGCGGUGUA
rnacentral:rRNA from 1 species